rnacentral:misc_RNA from 1 species
UCCUUCUUAUCGAAGGCAGUUUUCGAAGAGUGCAUCCCUUGCGGGAUUAGCAACAUCGAAUAGGGGUUGCGCUCGUUGCGGGACUUAACCCAACAUCUCACGACACGAGCUGACGACAACCAUGCAGCACCUCUGCUGGCUUCCUUGCGGACCAGCUAAUGUUUCCAAAAGCUUACUACCAGUAGUUCAAGCCCAGGUAAGGUUCUUCGCGUUGCGUCGAAUUAAACCACAUGCUCCACCGCUUGAACUACUGGUAGUAAGUCUUUGGAAACAUAGACUGAUCCGCAAG